rnacentral:lncRNA from 1 species
GAAACGACAUCUCACAUUUAAAGAACACCAGGCGUUUCUACACAGCGGGGGAAGGAAAUCCGUCCUGAUUUUAAACUUUGGCACAGCUGUGAAACCGAGGGUAGUGAACUCUGAGGAGAGGACUCUUUUCUGGACAUACAUUUAACGUCCGUGAAAGCCUCAGACCCCCUGAGCACACCUGCCUAGCCGUGUUGUGGACGAACAAGGGCUGAC